GGCACGCAUGCGGCGCAGCCUGACGGAGCACGCCGCGUGAGUGAUGAAGGUCUUCGGAUCGUAAAACUCUGUUAUUAGGGAAGAACAAAUGUGUAAGUAACUGUGCACGUCUUGACGGUACCUAAUCAGAAAGCCACGGCUAACUACGUGCCAGCAGCCGCGGUAAUACGUAGGUGGCAAGCGUUAUCCGGAAUUAUUGGGCGUAAAGCGCGCGUAGGCGGUUUCUUAAGUCUGAUGUGAAAGCCCACGGCUCAACCGUGGAGGGUCAUUGGAAACUGGGAAACUUGAGUGCAGAAGAGGAAAGUGGAAUUCCAUGUGUAGCGGUGAAAUGCGCAGAGAUAUGGAGGAACACCAGUGGCGAAGGCGACUUUCUGGUCUGUAACUGACGCUGAUGUGCGAAAGCGUGGGGAUCAAACAGGAUUAGAUACCCUGGUAGUCCACGCCGUAAACGAUGAGUGCUAAGUGUUAGGGGGUUUCCGCCCCUUAGUGCUGCAGCUAACGCAUUAAGCACUCCGCCUGGGGAGUACGACCGCAAGGUUGAAACUCAAAGGAUUUGGACG
rnacentral:rRNA from 1 species